rnacentral:misc_RNA from 1 species
GAUGAAGAACGUAGCAAAAUGCGAUAAGUAAUGUGAAUUGCAGAAUUCAGUGAAUCAUCGAAUCUUUGAACGCACAUUGCGCCCGCCAGUAUUCUGGCGGGCAUGCCUGUUCGAGCGUCAUUUCAACCCUCAAGCACAGCUUGGUGUUGGGACUCGCGUUAAUUCGCGUUCCUCAAAUUGAUUGGCGGUCACGUCGAGCUUCCAUAGCGUAGUAGUAAAACCCUCGUUACUGGUAAUCGCCGCGGCCACGCCGUUAAACCCCAACUUCUGAAUGUUGACCUCGGAUCAGGUAGGAAUACCCGCUGAACUUAAGCAUAUCAAUAAGCGGAGGA